rnacentral:rRNA from 1 species
CCUACGGGUGGCUGCAGUGGGGAAUAUUGCACAAUGGGCGCAAGCCUGAUGCAGCCAUGCCGCGUGUGUGAAGAAGGCCUUCGGGUUGUAAAGCACUUUCAGCGGGGAGGAAGGCGUUAAGGUUAAUAACCUUGUCGAUUGACGUUACCCGCAGAAGAAGCACCGGCUAACUCCGUGCCAGCAGCCGCGGUAAUACGAAGGGUGCAAGCGUUAAUCGGAAUUACUGGGCGUAAAGCGCACGCAGGCGGUCUGUCAAGUCGGAUGUGAAAUCCCCGGGCUCAACCUGGGAACUGCAUUCGAAACUGGCAGGCUAGAGUCUUGUAGAGGGGGGUAGAAUUCCAGGUGUAGCGGUGAAAUGCGUAGAGAUCUGGAGGAAUACCGGUGGCGAAGGCGGCCCCCUGGACAAAGACUGACGCUCAGGUGCGAAAGCGUGGGGAGCAAACAGGAUUAGAUACCCGGGUAGUC